GAUGAACGCUAGCGGCAGGCCUAAUACAUGCAAGUCGAACGGAUAUAUGUUUUUCGGAAUAUAUAUUAGUGGCGCACGGGUGAGUAACACGUACAUAACUUGCCCUCAAGCGGGGGAUAGCCUUGGGAAACUGAGAGUAAUACCCCAUAGAAUUAUUGGACGGCAUCGUUUGAUAAUUAAAACUACGGUGCUUGGGGAUAGAUGUGCGUCUGAUUAGCUAGUUGGUAGUGUAACGGACUACCAAGGCGAUGAUCAGUAGGGGGCGUGAGAGCGUGACCCCCCACACGGGUACUGAGACACGGACCCGACUCCUACGGGAGGCAGCAGUAAGGAAUAUUGGUCAAUGCCCGGAAGGGUGAACCAGCCAUCCCGCGUGAAGGAUGAAGGGGCUCUGCCUUGUAAACUUCUUUUGUAUGGGGCGAAAAAAGGGGAUUUAUCCUCGACUGACGGUACCAUAAGAAUAAGCACCGGCUAACUCCGUGCCAGCAACCGCGGUAAUGUAGUCGUGU
rnacentral:rRNA from 1 species